rnacentral:rRNA from 1 species
AGACGAAACAGCGAUGUGGAGUAAAACUCAAAAAGCGGUCUCAGUUCGGAUUGAAGGCUGAAAUUCGCCUACAUGAAGUUGGAAUUGCUAGUAAUGGCAGGUCAGCAUACUGCCGUGAAUACGUUCCCGGGCCUUGUACACACCGCCCGUCACACCAUGAGAGUUGGAGAUACCCGAAGCCUGUGAGCUAACUUUUUAAGAGGCAGCAGUCGAAGGUAGAAUCAAUGAUUGGGGUGAAGUCGUAACAAGGUAAC